GACGAACGCUGGCGGCGUGCUUAACACAUGCAAGUCGAACGGAAAGGCCCUGCUUUUGUUGGUUGCUCGAUUGGCGAACGGGUGAGUAACACGUGAGUAACCUGCCCUUAACUUUGUGAUAACAUUUCGAAACUGCGGCGAAUAUCCCAUAGGACCUCCUGCUUCAUAGGGUUGGUUUGAAAGUUUCGGCGUCUGUGGAUGGACUCGCUGCUUAUCAGCUUGUUUGUGGGGUAGUGACUUUCCAAGCCUUUGACGGGUAGCCGGCCUGGGAGGGUGACCGGCCACCUUGGGCCUGAGAUACGGCACAGACUGCUACGGGACGCAGAAGUGGGAAAUAUUGCAGAAUGGGAGGAAGCCUGAUGCAGCAACGCCGCGUGCGGGAUGACGGAUUAAGGGUUGUAAACCGCUUUGGCAUGUGACGAAGAGUGAGUGACGGUAAUGGGUAAAGAAGCACCGGCUAACUACGUG
rnacentral:rRNA from 1 species